AUUCAGCUGAUGAGUUCCAAAUAGAAUGAAACGUGCGUCCAGGAU
rnacentral:hammerhead_ribozyme from 1 species